UAUCGUACCNAAUGUGUGAGGUGCGUGACGGCUGUUGCUGAUUUCAAAAGUCGUGCACGCCGGAGCGUGUCCUCUCACAUAACACAAUCCAUCUCACCCUUUGUGCACCACCGCGUGGGCAUCCUUUUUGGGAUCAGACCGAUCUCCGAGGGGACUCGCGUUUUCACACAACAACCCCCUUUAAAAAGUGUAGAAUGACCUCAUUUAUGCAAUCAAUACAACUUUCAACAACGGAUCUCUUGGCUCUCGCAUCGAUGAAGAACGCAGCGAAAUGCGAUACGUAAUGUGAAUUGCAGAAUUCAGUGAAUCAUCGAAUCUUUGAACGCACCUUGCGCCCCUUGGUAUUCCGAGGGGCACACCCGUUUGAGUGUCGUGAAAACCUCAACCUCCUUGGUUUCUUUCCGGAGACUGAAGGAGGCUUGGACUUUGGAGGCCUUUGCUGGUGUCUCUCACCAGCUCCUCUUAAAUGAAUUAGCGGGGUCCUCUUUGCCGAUCCUCGACACGUGAUAAGAUGCUUCCGUGUCUCGGUUUCUGGCUCUGUUGCUUUUGGGACCCGCUUCUAACCGUCUGGACCUUGUGUCGAGACAAUGUUCGAGAUNGUCUCCCUUCUCGGGAAACCCCCUCGACCCCACGAACCCUUGGCCUCAAAUCGGGUGAGACUACCCGCUGAACUUAAGCAUAUCAAUAAG
rnacentral:rRNA from 1 species